AGACGUCUACAGUUUGAUCCUGGCUCAGAUUGAACGCUGGCGGCAGGCCUAACACAUGCAAGUCGAGCGGCAGCACUUCGGGUGGCGAGCGGCGGACGGGUGAGUAACACGUAGGAAUCUACCUAGUAGUGGGGGAUAGCCCGGGGAAACUCGGAUUAAUACCGCAUACGCUCUACGGAGGAAAGGGGGCUUCGGCUCUCGCUAUUAGAUGAGCCUGCGUCGGAUUAGCUAGUUGGUGAGGUAAAGGCUCACCAAGGCGACGAUCCGUAACUGGUCUGAGAGGAUGAUCAGUCACACUGGAACUGAGACACGGUCCAGACUCCUACGGGAGGCAGCAGUGGGGAAUAUUGGACAAUGGGGGAAACCCUGAUCCAGCCAUGCCGCGUGUGUGAAGAAGGCCUUCGGGUUGUAAAGCACUUUCAGUUGGGAGGAAAAGUUUGUGGUUAAUACCCACGAGCCGUGACGUUACCAACAGAAGAAGCACCGGCUAACUCCGUG
rnacentral:rRNA from 1 species